rnacentral:rRNA from 1 species
CCUACGGGAGGCAGCAGUGGGGAAUAUUGGACAAUGGGCGCAAGCCUGAUCCAGCCAUACCGCGUGUGUGAAGAAGGCCUUUUGGUUGUAAAGCACUUUAAGCGAGGAGGAGGGCACUUUGGCUAAUACCCGAAUGUGUCGGACGUUACUCGCAGAAUAAGCACCGGCUAACUCUGUGCCAGCAGCCGCGGUAAUACAGAGGGUGCGAGCGUUAAUCGGAAUUACUGGGCGUAAAGCGCGCGUAGGCGGCUUGUUAAGUCGGAUGUGAAAUCCCCGGGCUCAACCUGGGCACUGCAUUCGAUACUGGCAAGCUAGAGUAUGGGAGAGGAAGGUAGAAUUCCAGGUGUAGCGGUGAAAUGCGUAGAGAUCUGGAGGAAUACCGAUGGCGAAGGCAGCCUUCUGGCCUAAUACUGACGCUGAGGUGCGAAAGCAUGGGGAGCAAACAGGAUUAGAUACCCGUGGUAGUCCAUGCCGUAAACGNUGUACAACUAGCCGGUUAGGGACCUUGACGUUCCGUUAGGNGGCGNGAGCGACGCGUAAGUAGUU